rnacentral:rRNA from 1 species
GACGGGGGAUGCAAGUGUUAUCCGGAAUCACUGGGCGUAAAGCGUCUGCAGGUGGUUUCCUAAGUCCACCGUUAAACCUUGAGGCUCAACCUCAAAUCUGCAUUGGAAACUAGGAGACUUGAGUAUAGUAGGGGUAGAGGGAAUUUCCAGUGGAGCGGUGAAAUGCGUAGAUAUUGGAAAGAACACCGAUGGCGAAGGCACUCUACUGGGCUAUUACUGACACUCAGAGACGAAAGCUAGGGGAGCAAAUGGG